AUUGAACGCUGGCGGCAGGCUUAACACAUGCAAGUCGAGCGGGGUGAUGGUGCUUGCACUAUCACUUAGCGGCGGACGGGUGAGUAAUGCUUAGGAAUCUGCCUAUUAGUGGGGGACAACAUCUCGAAAGGGAUGCUAAUACCGCAUACGUCCUACGGGAGAAAGCAGGGGAUCACUUGUGACCUUGUGCUAAUAGAUGAGCCUAAGUCGGAUUAGCUAGUUGGUGGGGUAAAGGCCUACCAAGGCGACGAUCUGUAGCGGGUCUGAGAGGAUGAUCCGACACACUGGGACUGAGACACGGCCCAGACUCCUACGGGAGGCAGCAGUGGGGAAUAUUGGACAAUGGGGGGAACCCUGAUCCAGCCAUGCCGCGUGUGUGAAGAAGGCCUUAUGGUUGUAAAGCACUUUAAGCGAGGAGGAGGCUUACCUAGUUAAUACCUGGGAUAAGUGGACGUUACUCGCAGAAUAAGCACCGGCUAACUCUGUGCCAGCCGCCGCGGUAAAAC
rnacentral:rRNA from 1 species